rnacentral:misc_RNA from 1 species
GAUGAAGAACGCAGCGAAAUGCGAUACUUGGUGUGAAUUGCAGAAUCCCGUGAACCAUCGAGUCUUUGAACGCAAGUUGCGCCUCAAGCCAUUAGGUUGAGGGCACGUCUGCCUGGGCGUCACAUAUCGUUGACUGAUGCCAGUUUCCUCGUGAUGGGUGACUGUGCAGGGCGAAUGAUGGCUUCCCGUGAGCAUUGUUGCCUCAUGGUUGGUUGAAAAUUGAGUCCUUGGUAGGGAGCGCCGUGAUAGAUGGUGGUUGAGUGACGAACGAGACCCAAUCAUGUGAGACCCCUACCGAAUUUGGCCUUCAUGACCCACAUGCGUCUUUGGAACGCUCAUGACGAGACCUCAGGUCAGGCGGGGCUACCCGCUGAGUUUAAGCAUAUCAAUAAGCGGAGGA